rnacentral:tRNA from 1 species
UAUAUUUUAGUAUAGGGUGUACAUUAGUUUUUGACGCUAAAAGAGGUUGUUUAAUUCAACUAAAUAUAA